UGACUAGUGGUGCGGUGGACAAUGACGAGCGUGACUGGCGUUUGUCCCAUACAGAAUAACUUAUAGUGGAAGUGAGGCGAGGAGGCAAUAGAUUCAUCUUGUCAUGGAAGAUAGACAUGAAGGAUAAGGCUUUGUAAGAGUGACCGGAGGAGCUAAUAGUUUUAGUUUAACCGCCCAUGCCGAUCUGCCAACUUUCAAGGACUUACUUUCCGCUGACACCUAGUUGUUUCCUGCGGCUCGUCUCACGACUGGGUCAAAGCGGGGUCCAACCAAUCUACGCAUAGAAUAAAGCAAUCGGCAACCGAAACAAGAUAAACCGCUCGAAAAAAAGUAAAGCACUCUGAUAGCACAGGCCCUGUUUAAGCUUCGAUCAAAGCAAUCAGGUAUGGUGGCUUAGGAGUUUGAGUCGUAUUAUCAAUCUUAGCCAGCACGAAAAGGGCAGAACCUAAUCAACAAAAAAGAAUAAACGAAUAGAAAGAGGGGGUUUACCUAUGAAUGUAGUUCUUCUUUAGUCAUUCCCUAACCUUUUCUCAUAUUAGCGUAAGCUACCGUUUAAUAUGAAUAAAGAAUUUUCUUUCCGAACCUAAGGCUAAUAGCUCCCGUGCUGCUUUUGACUCGAAUCCGAAGCUGUGGUAUGGGUGUCCCGUGGAUGCGCCUGCGAGUGAAGCAAUGAGAAUUGUUGAUUCAUUUUACACAUGGAGAAGGGAAUCGAAGAUGGAUGGAAUUUCUUCAAUUCAAAAUAUCCAUUGCGUUCUUUUCUAUUAAUAUUAAAGCUUGGUCACCAGAAUGUUAAUUGAAGAAAUGUCUUCCCCGUGGCCAGAGUAAAGUGUUUGCUAUUCCAAAGGGUGCUUCUCUGAUCUUCAAGCUUUCCCGUGGUGCGCAAAUGAAACUAUUUUCUUGCCUUCACCCGGCCGAUUAGUAAAGAUUCCGGCUUCUCAAUCGAUUGCGUUUCGUAUUAUAAGAUCAGGGGAAAAAGGCAUCCAUUCAAACANAAUCUAGCCAAGCACGAACAGGGCAGAACCUAAUCAACAAAAAAGAAAAACGAAUAGAAAGAGGGGGUUCUUCUUUAGUCAUUCCCUAACCUUUUCUCAUAUUAGCGUAAGCUACCGUUUAAUAUG
rnacentral:lncRNA from 1 species